rnacentral:rRNA from 1 species
UACGGGGGGGGCAAGCGUUGUUCGGAAUUACUGGGCGUAAAGGGCUCGUAGGCGGCCAACUAAGUCAUACGUGAAAUCCCUCGGCUUAACCGGGGAACUGCGUCUGAUACUGGAUGGCUUGAGAUUGGGAGAGGGAUGCGGAAUUCCAGGUGUAGCGGUGAAAUGCGCAGAUAUCAGGAGGAACACCGAUGGCGAAGGCAGCUCGCUGGGACGGUACUGACGCUGAGGCGCGAAAGCGUGGGGAGCAAACAGG